UCACAUGAUAGUUGGUUUUUUUCCUCUCUGGAGGCUGUGACGGUGUCUGAGGGUUGAGAGCUCGAGCAGGAUCAGGAGGGGAAAAAAAAUCCACAUAAGAGCCGUUAGUGUGAGAGCUGCUGCGUGUUAGUGUGGAGGGAUCGCACUGCGUAGCAGAGAUAAACUCUCACCACUCACAUACAGGAGUUAAAAGAAAGGACCCUCCCCCGCGGGCAGCUUCCAGUAAAAGGACAAAAAAACCCUAAAAAGAGACGACACAACAAGAAAAAAAGGACAAGGUUUGGGACCGAGAUAGAGAGACUCUUCGAACGCCGGAACUUUUACAGCUUUUUCGUGUGUGCGUGUUAUUGGGAGGAGGGGGGGGGGAAAGUAUUUUUUUUGGAAUAUGGUAGGGGAAAUGGAAAAUAAGGAACGACCAAAACCUACCCCAGACUAUCUCAUGCAACUGAUGAACGACAAGAAGCUGAUGAGUAGCCUGCCUAACUUCUGCGGCAUUUUCAAUCAUUUGGAAAGGUUACUGGAUGAAGAAAUCAGCAGAGUGCGGAAAGAUAUGUACAAUGACACGUUAAAUGGAAGUACGGAGAAGAAAAGUGCAGAAUUACCUGAUGGUGUAGGGCCUAUUGUACAGUUACAAGAGAAGCUUUAUGUACCUGUCAAGGAAUAUCCUGAUUUCAACUUUGUUGGAAGAAUCCUUGGACCCAGAGGUCUAACAGCAAAACAGUUGGAAGCAGAGACAGGAUGCAAGAUUAUGGUACGAGGAAAGGGCUCAAUGAGGGACAAGAAGAAGGAGGAACAAAAUAGAGGCAAACCCAACUGGGAACACCUAAAUGAAGACUUGCAUGUAUUAAUCACUGUGGAAGAUGCUCAGAACAGAGCAGAAAUAAAACUAAAGAGGGCAGUGGAGGAAGUUAAAAAGUUGCUUGUACCAGCGGCAGAAGGAGAAGAUAACCUUAAGAAAAUGCAGCUAAUGGAAUUAGCAAUACUGAACGGCACUUAUAGAGAUGCCAACAUCAAAUCACCUGCCCUUGCCUUUUCUCUUGCAGCAACAGCCCAAGCUCCACGGAUCAUUACAGGGCCCACGUCGGUUUUACCACCAGCUGCCUUGAGGGCCCCGACACCAGCUGGUCCAACUAUUAUGCCUCUAAUUAGGCAAAUACAAACAGCAACAGUAAUGCCUAAUGGAUCACCUCACCCGACUACAAUAGUGCCUCCUGCACCUGAAGCCAGUCUAAUUUAUACUCCUUACGACUAUCCUUACACCCUGGCACCAGCUACUUCUAUCCUGGAGUAUCCCAUUGAGCCUAGUGGUGUAUUAGGUAUGGCUUUCCCAACGAAAGGCUAAGAAUUCAAGGACCAUGUUACUGAACCCUCGUCAGAUCCGAACUUUAACAAAUGCUUAGUUUCACAGCAGCCUUGGAUAAAUGAGCCCACCCUGACUGUCAGUGAAAUACUAGCAUUGUGUGCGUGUGCACAUAUUUGGAAACCAGCUGGGUCAAUUAGUUACAAUUCUGACCUAGUGUUCCUCCUAUCAUUUUGUUACAUCUAUCCCAGAGGAAUCACAUGUAAAGUAUUUCAUUGUCUGUUUGGUGUGGGGUUCAUCCAAUACUGUGUUUGCUUUACAAAUCACCUAAUUCUUUGCCAUUUGUAGCUCGCAGCUUCUGAGCUAAGUGUGCAUUUUGUAGGUCAAUUGCUGAAGAACUUUUAAAAUCUGUAGAGGUUUUAUUUUUUAAAAAUCGAUCUCAGUAUUGAUUCAGUGUUAUGAUGAAUUAAAACUUGUUCGUCCGCAAGAAGCACUCCACUGAUUAUGUGACUAUUAAAACUUAAUUGUGUUUGGAUCUAAUUGAAUUAUCUCAUACAGUGGGAUUUUUAACAAAUAGAUAAUAAUUGUUUAAGACUGUCUUUUAAAACGGAAUGCAAUAUUAACAUGCACAGUUGUACUCUCUUUAGUAGUUUCUGCGUAAAAUGUUCAAAUUAUAAAGGUGCUGUGCCUUAAACUGUUUUUAACUGAUUAUCAUGUAGUAAUUUCUAAUGUAAACCCAUCAUUGAUCUAAUGUUAAGAUGCUAUUGAUAAGUUAAUCAAUCACUUCUUAGGAAAUUCCUCUAAUCAUGUGUUGGAAAUGUUGCAAUUUAACUAGGUGCAGUGGCUACUAAAGUUCGAAGGCACGAUAUGCGGGUCCAUCCUUACCAAAGGAUUGUGACCGCAGACCGAGCCGCCACUGGCAACUAACCCAUGACCUUCUGACCUCUGAACUCUUCACCCAAUGAUGACCUGACCAUGCCUGCCUGCUGAUCAAUUUACUGGUGAUCGCCUUUGCUUGUCUGUCUUCAGUGCAGCGAGCUGAGGCACUGUCUGUUCGUCUUACUGCCUAAUAAUGAAAACAAACAAAAAACAAAACACACAAACAAAAUUAUCCAACCUCUCAGAUUUUAUGGUUGGGUGAAUCAUGAGGUCCUAAAACUGCACUGAAUAGUACUAAAGCAAUAAAGUUCAAUUCACCCCCUCAGAACCGUUCAUCAGUGAUCAUCAUUGAGUGACUCUCCCUAAUGAACGGUAAGAAGUCUUCACCUAGGAGAUAGGAGAUGGAUGUGUAUGAAUAGCUAUUAACAAAAGCAGUGACUGUGGGAGUUUGAAGAAUUUUUUUUCUCAUGGUGAAGUCACAGGUUCCCUGAAUGUAUUUUGUUGUGAUGAUACAUCAUGCAUGAACCUUUGGUCACUGAUGUCAUUGGUGAAGGGUUUUUGAAUGAAAUUCAAUGUUCAAAAUACGGCCAAUUUAUUUUUGUUUUGUAAGUCCAUUUGUGCUCCUCAAGAGCACAGAUGCCAACUCAAAGUUUUUCAUGACUUCAACCUGCCAGUUCAGAAUUUUCCGAAAUGAAUGCUUCUGCUGUUGAGACGACCAUUGAGAAAACAGUGAUGGGUAAAGACAACUGAAUUAGAAGUAAUGAGUAAUAAGAUUGAAGAGUAUCCAUCAGAUGUUAAGAUUCUUUUGGUAACAAGGUCCAUGCAUUGUGUGUCAUGAUCCUGGGCAAAUUGUUGAAUCCUAUUUUUCUUCCUUGUGUAGAAAUGUUUUCUCAAGGAUGUAAAGCCAUGCUUGCCUAUUUACUAUAUACAUGUAAUUAAAUUGUAGAUAAGCAUAAUGCAUUGAACAGACCACAAAAAGAAUAGUAGAUACUUUUACUAUUACAAGGGUGCUGGUAAGAAGAAAUAUAUUUUUGACAGUAGUUUUUUAUACUUUCAAGUAUUAAACAGAAUCUGAACAAAGAAACACUUUAUUUCAUUAAAAUAUUUCCUAGUAGUUGUGAAUGAAGCAAAACAGGAGACCAAAACAGCCUCUUUGUUUUUUCUUUAUUUUUUCAUUUUUUGUUACAUUGUAAAGAUUGGAAAAUGUUUAAAGAGAGAAGUGCCUUAUUUUAUUCAUAGUCAUUUUGUCUAGUAUCUCAGAAAUUAAUCACCAUGCUGAAUGCAAGGUCUCAAAUGCAUGCAAACUUAGCUGCCCAGUUCCUACAUGAAAGGAUCCACAAGUGAAUAAAAAUGAGCUAGCAGUUGUUGCUUGAUUAAUGUCACGUCACUGAACCCAUGGCUUUCUAUGACUAUAGCUGUGACAUCGAUUUGUACAGUCUCCUGGUUUUAUAGUGAAUUGUUUAAAGCUAUCGUUCCCUGUGGGUUUUCACGUCUUAAAGAGCCAGUUUAUCUUUUGUUGUUAAUCGUAGGAUGACGUAAGAAUGAAAGAAACUGAAAGAUAAACAGAAAAAUCUAUUUGGAGCAUUCACUUGUACCUCAAUCUGAAUAUAAAAUUUGAUGCUCAUGAACAGCUUCCAAACUUUUGUUGUCUUCACUGUGUAAUUAAUUGCCCUUGAAACGUCUGAGCAUGUUAUGUUGAAAGAUAUCCCAGGCAGACCAGUGUAGGAGAAAGGUUUCCUGUUGGUAAUGUCAGAGAGCUUACAUGAUCAAAAAUGGCCAAAUUUUCUAACUGACAGAAGCUUAUUUUGAUUAUGUUUAGCCAGUAAAGAAUAUCAAACAUGUCCUUUUCUUGAAUUUACAGCAAGGAGGCCAUCAGCAAGGUUCUCAGAAUGAGCAAAUCAUUGAUAUUCUCUUAAGUGGAACUGAAUUUCAGUUAUGGGAAUUUUGAGAUUUCUAAAACAUCAACUUCAGAUGCGUUGGUAGUAGAAUUUUACAGCCGGUUCCUUUAGCCGUGUUCUCCCUGCUGUCAUGUGGAUUGUCUGCUCAGCAGAGAUUUGUAAGGUGGCUGAGGGUGAGCAUAGAUUUACUUUGUAACAUGACUGUCUUUCCACUGACAUAGGUUCUAGUUAAUUCAACUGCUGCCUUCAUACUGAUUGACCUCAGGAAAGAGGUAAGAUGAUGAGGCAGGAGAAUCAGUUCGAAUGGAUAGUUGUAGCCAGAAUUGAAGUUCAGUCAUUUCCAGAUAUCUUUCUUAAUAUGGUUUUUUUGGACUGGAACUCAAUAAUUUCAAUUUUUUUAUGCAUUUACCAUUUUUUGCAUCAUUAGAAAUUAUAAGUUCUUAGGUAAUUAUUUGCAGCACCUUGAUCAUUUUAAAAGAAAACUUUUUAAAGACUCCACCGUGAAACCUGCAAUACUGAUGACUGUUACAACUUGAUUCACAUGUCAUAUACAAAUGACCAGAAACAAUAUUGCUUAAGUAUGUAAUGUCCUAAUGUGGUUCUCAGUUAGCUUUGAUGUACCCUUCAGUAUUUAAGUAACCUUUUUGAACUCGAAAAGAUGCAAGUAGUAUGACAAUUUAUUCUUAACUAAAUCUGCUCAGUUUUCAAUUGGUGAUGAAAAGGGGUAUGCAUCUUUUCUUGUGACCUUCCAGCUCACUAUAUAUCAAACUGGCCAUUUCUCUAUCAUUUGUAAGCAGAGGACUUGUACACUACAAUUUAUGUUGAAUGAUUGAACUGAUGGCUCAUUCAUAUCCACUUAGGGAUCCUUUUUAAUAAACACUCCUGCCUUUGGCAAGGCAGAGACUAGGAAGGGUUGCUAUAAAACACUUGCAUGGUAAAUUCACCCAAAAUCUGUCAUUUGAUAGGGGAAGAAAAUGAUUUACUAUGCAACAAGUGUGAAACUACUGAUGCCCAUCCAGCCAGCUUUAAACAUUGUACCACCAUCUUUGUCUUCCUGAUUGUUGACACUCAGCGGAUGGUUCCUUGAUUCUUUGAUCAUACACAUUUUUUAUCAAGUGGCAUUUUUGACAUUUCAGUUUGAACAAAAUUUGUGACGCUCAAACGAUAGCCAUGAUAGUGACUACAGAAUGUGGGCAAUUCAAAAUAAAAGCAGUUUUACUUUUGAUUUUGUAACAGUUAUUUGUCAUUGGACUUUUGGGAAAGAAAGGUUGGAUAUUAAAAAUGUGACACGUCUUUAAAAAUGUUUCAUUGCUAACAUUAUGAUUCCUGACCAAAUGUGACAACUUUUUAGAAAUUGUGUAUGCCCUUAACCUCAAUAUUACUAUUGUUUGAGUGUCUUAGAUAUUCAAAGGUAGUUUAAAAAAAAACUUUGUACUGUACAUUUUCCUGGCAGUAUUAUGUAUUUCUAUGGAGUGAUUAAAUGGGAGUGUCACUAGUAGUUAUGUAGUUGACAGGAUGAGUCAACUAUUUGCAAAGCAAGAGGUAGAUCCAUGUUGUCUGUACCAUAACCAAUUUAUUGCCUAAAAACAUGUAAGAUAAUGUAUUUACAGCCAUUGUUACAAGUUUAUAAUGUAUUUUUCUAUAAUCUUGUUUUUGUAUGUUAUAUAUAACAUUCAAGAAAUUUUCCUGAUAAAUUACAAAAAUAUAGAAUAUCCAACAUUUUGAUAACCGAUCUAUACCAACCCUUUUGCAGUUAGUACUGACUGUGAUCUUUCUUUUGCUUUCUGUUAGCAACUUGAUGACUUAAAUAGACAAGUUGGUUUUCUGCUUUUUUUAAAUGUGCUUAAUUUUAUUUAAUUGUUUCUUUGCUGUUUCUAUUAACCCUUGCAUUAUUUUAAUAAAUGUUAUAUAAAACUUCUAACACUGGACUGUCUGUUUUAACCAUUUUGCCACAUUUUCUAGAAUAAGCAUUAAGAUUAAUGUAUGUUGCACGGUUUGUCAGACUAACCUGAGGAAAGUGACCAAAUAUAACCACUUUAAUCCCAGUAUGUUGGUUGACAGUGCCUGUAUAUGAGUUAACAGUGCCAAACAUUUUGGUUGAUUGAUCUUUUUACCUGUUAA